CGGGGAGUUGGCGAGUGGUUACGCCACUGGUUUUGGGAACCAGACGCCGCGGGUUCGAGUCCCGCCUCCCCGA
rnacentral:tRNA from 1 species